GAUGAACGCUGGCGGCGUGCCUAACACAUGCAAGUCGAGCGAUUUACUUCGGUAAAGAGCGGCGGACGGGUGAGUAACGCGUGGGUAACCUGCCCUGUACACACGGAUAACAUACCGAAAGGUAUGCUAAUACGAGAUAAUAUACUUUUAUCGCAUGGUAGAAGUAUCAAAGCUCCGGCGGUACAGGAUGGACCCGCGUCUGAUUAGCUAGUUGGUAAGGUAACGGCUUACCAAGGCGACGAUCAGUAGCCGACCUGAGAGGGUGAUCGGCCACAUUGGAACUGAGACACGGUCCAAACUCCUACGGGAGGCAGCAGUGGGGAAUAUUGCACAAUGGGCGAAAGCCUGAUGCAGCAACGCCGCGUGAGCGAUGAAGGCCUUCGGGUCGUAAGGCUCUGUCCUCAAGGAAGAUAAUGACGGUACUUGAGGAGGAAGCCCCGGCUAACUACGUGCCAGCCGCCGCAGUAACAC
rnacentral:rRNA from 1 species